AGCUCCAAUAGCGUAUAUUAAAGUUGUUGCAGUUAAAAAGCUCGUAGUUGGAUUUCUGGCAGUGUGACUCCGGCCGGCAUGACGUCGGGUCCAGAGCGCGCUACCAUCCUUCUGUCAACCUUCGCGGGAUUCGUUUCCCGCCCUGGGGCUCAGAUAUUUUACCUUGAGAAAAUUAGAGUGUUUCAGGCAGGCUUUCGCCGGAAUACAUUAGCAUGGAAUAAUGGAAAAGGACUUCAACCUCUUCUGUUGGUCUGAGAGGCUGUAGUAAUGAUUAAUAGGGAUAGUUGGGGGCAUUAGUACUUGACUGUCAGAGGUGAAAUUCUCCGAUUUGUUAAAGACUAACUUAUGCGAAAGCAUUUGCCAAGGAUGUUU
rnacentral:rRNA from 1 species